rnacentral:rRNA from 1 species
UACGUAGGGGCCUAGCGUUGUCCGGAUUUAUUGGGCGUAAAGAGCUCGUAGGCGGUUUGGUGAGUCGGGUGUGAAAUCUCCACGCUCAACGUGGAGGGGCCACCCGAUACUGCCAUGACUAGAGUCCGGUAGGGGAGUGUGGAAUUCCCGGUGUAGCGGUGAAAUGCGCAGAUAUCAGGAAGAACACCCGUGGCGAAGGCGGCUCUCUGGGACGUGACUGACGCUGAGACGCGAAAGCGUGGGGAGCGAACAGG